UACGAAGGGGCUAGCGUUGUUCGGAAUUACUGGGCGUAAAGCGCACGUAGGCGGACAUUUAAGUCAGGGGUGAAAUCCCGGGGCUCAACCCCGGAACUGCCUUUGAUACUGGGUGUCUCGAGUCCGGAAGAGGUGAGUGGAAUUCCGAGUGUAGAGGUGAAAUUCGUAGAUAUUCGGAGGAACACCAGUGGCGAAGGCGGCUCACUGGUCCGGUACUGACGCUGAGGCGCGAAAGCGUGGG
rnacentral:rRNA from 1 species